rnacentral:rRNA from 1 species
AGAGUUUGAUCCUGGCUCAGAUUGAACGCUGGCGGCAGGCCUAACACAUGCAAGUCGAGCGGUAGAGAGAAGCUUGCUUCUCUUGAGAGCGGCGGACGGGUGAGUAAUGCCUAGGAAUCUGCCUGGUAGUGGGGGAUAACGUUCGGAAACGAACGCUAAUACCGCAUACGUCCUACGGGAGAAAGCAGGGGACCUUCGGGCCUUGCGCUAUCAGAUGAGCCUAGGUCGGAUUAGCUAGUUGGUGAGGUAAUGGCUCACCAAGGCGACGAUCCGUAACUGGUCUGAGAGGAUGAUCAGUCACACUGGAACUGAGACACGGUCCAGACUCCUACGGGAGGCAGCAGUGGGGAAUAUUGGACAAUGGGCGAAAGCCUGAUCCAGCCAUGCCGCGUGUGUGAAGAAGGUCUUCGGAUUGUAAAGCACUUUAAGUUGGGAGGAAGGGCAGUUACCUAAUACGUGAUUGUUUUGACGUUACCGACAGAAUAAGCACCGGCUAACUCUGUGCCAGCAGCCGCGGUAAUACG